rnacentral:rRNA from 1 species
UAGGGAAUCUUCCGCAAUGGACGAAAGUCUGACGGAGCAACGCCGCGUGAGUGAAGAAGGUUUUCGGAUCGUAAAACUCUGUUGUAAGGGAAGAACAAGUACGUUAGUAACUGAACGUACCUUGACGGUACCUUACCAGAAAGCCACGGCUAACUACGUGCCAGCAGCCGCGGUAAUACGUAGGUGGCAAGCGUUAUCCGGAAUUAUUGGGCGUAAAGCGCGCGUAGGCGGUCUCUUAAGUCUGAUGUGAAAGCCCCCGGCUCAACCGGGGAGGGUCAUUGGAAACUGGGAGACUUGAGUGCAGAAGAGGAGAGUGGAAUUCCAUGUGUAGCGGUGAAAUGCGCAGAGAUAUGGAGGAACACCAGUGGCGAAGGCGGCUCUCUGGUCUGUAACUGACGCUGAGGUGCGAAAGCGUGGGGAUCAAACA